AAUGAACGCUAGCGGCAGGCUUAAUACAUGCAAGUCGAGGGACAGCACAGGUAGCAAUACUGGGUGGUAACCGGCAAACGGGUGCGGAACACGUACACAACCUUCCUUUAAGUGGGGGAUAGCCCAGAGAAAUUUGGAUUAAUACCCCGUAAUAUAGUUGAAUGGCAUCAUUUGAUUAUUAUAGCUACGGCGCUUAAUGAUGGGUGUGCGGCUGAUUAGAUAGUUGGCGGGGUAACGGCCCACCAAGUCUACGAUCAGUAGCUGAUGUGAGAGCAUGAGCAGCCACACGGGCACUGAGACACGGGCCCGACUCCUACGGGAGGCAGCAGUAAGGAAUAUUGGUCAAUGGACGCAAGUCUGAACCAGCCUUGCCGCGUGAAGGAUUAAGGUCCUCUGGAUUGUAAACUUCUUUUAUUUGGGACGAAAAAAGGGCCUUUCUAGGUCAACUGACGGUACCAGAUGAAUAAGCACCGGCUAACUCCGUGCCAGCCGCCGCCGUAAGAC
rnacentral:rRNA from 1 species